GGGGGGGCUGGAGGUGGGGACACCCCCAAUGGGGACCCCCCAGCUUCUACCGCAGAGGAGGAGCUGACCCGAUUGCAGGCAGAGGUGGCUGAGCUGAUGGACGAGCUGAGGAAAAAAGGAUGAGAGUUUGCAGCAGCUCCAGGCAGAAAAAAGAGGCGCUGAGCAACACGCAGAGG